AAAGAUACUGUGAUCACCUUGUUUAGUCUGCUAUCAAAACCAUCAUCAUUUUGUUACAGGUAGAGCUUCGUCUCCGGAUCUAGACGGAAUCCGUUUCAAAGUCUAAGUGUGCGACUUACUACUUACGGAAUGAAUAGCAAAGUCUAGGCUGCUGAGUCUCAGUAACUGUGUUCCUAUAUUGAAGAUACUUAAUGACCUCCUCUGUACAUUGGACUGGGAGUUUGAAAUCAAACAACUGUGGACAGAGCCAACAAUGUGGACCCAACCUCCUAAGAAAGAGAAGGACUUCCUCCGGUUAUAGAGGUUUUAAGAACAGCUAGACCCAGGAUUCUGAGAUUUGGAGUCUUUUCAGUAAUGGGAAGAAGGAGGCAGAGGACAAAACUAAGGCAUCGUUAUAAUGUUCAUCUGCAGAGACCUUACAGAUCAUUAAAAGUGCACAACACGGAGAUAGUAAGCCACACAGAAGAGCCUGAGCUUAGACGAUGGGUGAACAAUGGGAAAUCCGGGCAGCGUCUGCCUGAGCUUGGCAAGGAGACCCCACAAGGAAGUCAUUCUCUCCUCAGUGUGCCGACAACAGCAUCCAUCCGACUCAGAGGCUGUGAGCUGUUCACCGUCCUUAUAAGACGUGGGCCUGAAGACACAGCUGGAGUUGUCAUUGUGGAAUUCAGCCGGAUCGGAAAUCGGGUCAGGAUGUCUUCUCGUGCCAUUCCUAUUCAAUAUCAAACAGGAAGACCUAACCAGUAUGACAAGGAAAGAACGAGAAAUACAGAGUAGAAAGACUUUAUCAUUAACAUCUUGUGAAGUUCACUGGAAGACGAUGAGACUGCCUCUGCUACGUCUGGGAACGGCGAGGCAUCCAAAUGCUGAUCACCGCAUGCAAUUAAGUAGAAUGGCUGAAGAUCUGCAGGAUGUCCUUGGACAUUUGGAGCACGGAGAGUAUUUUCGGUCAAUUCUAUUUAGAGAAAAUCGGAUGCUUAAUGACUGUGGUUUAGAGGUCCACAAUAAGACUAAUGGACUGAAAACCCAAGAGAAGUGCUCGUGGCAGGAAGAGCAUCAAGAGGAUAUAAAGUUAUGGAAAAUAAAUGAUGAUCCAUGUUACCACCAAUAGGCCCUCCUAUGAACCCAACCACCUGUGCAAGGUCAUUACUGCAACAGAGAAUCAAGUCUGCUCCAGAGAGAAGAAGUGAGAGAGUGAAUACACACCUUGGAAGUGUCAGUGAUUAAUGCUCUCAACUGCACUGUGUCCCCUGAAGAGCCAAGGUGCGUAGGUCCGCCUGCCCUGUCUUCUGUGUCUCCCGUCGUGAACAGUUGGACGAUCCCAGGGAGAAGCGGUGUCUCCUGGUCUGUUGAAGCAAUCAGUGAAGUGAAUGAGUAAUGAGUGAGAGCACAUUAGUGCCAUUGGUGGUUAAUGAACUCAAUCGUCUUUGCUGCGUGCCCCUGAUUUCCACAGCUUGCUAAAUAAAAGUUUAUUUAUGGUC